AGCACUUCUACGGGAGGCAGCAGUGGGGAAUAUUGCACAAUGGGCGCAAGCCUGAUGCAGCCAUGCCGCGUGUAUGAAGAAGGCCUUCGGGUUGUAAAGUACUUUCAGCAGUGAGGAAGGUGGGUAUGUUAAUAGCAUACUCAUUUGACGUUAGCUGCAGAAGAAGCACCGGCUAACUCCGUGCCAGCAGCCGCGGUAAUACGGAGGGUGCGAGCGUUAAUCGGAAUUACUGGGCGUAAAGCGCAUGCAGGUGGUUUGUUAAGUCAGAUGUGAAAGCCCGGGGCUCAACCUCGGAAUUGCAUUUGAAACUGGCAAACUAGAGUACUGUAGAGGGGGUAGAAUUUCAGGUGUAGCGGUGAAAUGCGUAGAGAUCUGAAGGAAUACCGGUGGCGAAGGCGGCCCCCUGGACAGAUACUGACACUCAGAUGCGAAAGCGUGGGGAGCAAACAGGAUUAGAUACCCUGGUAG
rnacentral:rRNA from 1 species